ensembl:snRNA U2 U2 spliceosomal RNA
AUCGCUUCUCAGCCUUUUGGCUAAGAUCAAGUGUAGUAUCUGUUCUUAUCAGUGCUACAAAUAUUUCUGAGGAUACCAUGGAUUGCUAAAAAGAUAAAUGAAUGGGUUCUAAAGCAAAUUGAGCCUGAACUCUCU